GAUGGAGACGGUGGGCUGGAGGCCGAAGGUGAUAGUGCUGGAGACUUAGCUUUGGUCUUGCUAGGGGCCGGAGCUGGAACCGUGGCAGGAGGAGAAGCCAAAGGAGCUGGUGGUGGGGUAGCUGGAGGAGGAGUAGCAGGAGGGGGAGAAGCAGGUGGUGGGGUAGCCGGAGGUGGAGAAGCCGGUGGGGGAGUUGCGGGAGGUGGAGUAGCCGGGGGAGGAGAAGCUGGUGGUGGGGAGCUAACGGGCGGGGGAGUCGCUGGAGGAGGAGUGGAAACUGGUGGUGGUGAUGAAGUAGGAGGAGGAGAGGAAGCUGGUGGCGGAGAAGUAGUUGUGGGUGUUGGAGGUGGUUGAGUAGUAGGUGGAGGUGUGGAAGCGGGUGGAGUCGGCGGCGCCGGCGUGGAUGUCGGAGGAUUACUAGGAGUAGGAGGAGCUUGGCCUAAAACGCCAGCUACAGCAAUGCAAAACAAAGCUGAUAAGAACAAAAACUUAUUAUUAAGCAUCAUAUUGGAAACAAUGGUGACCCUUUAAUCCUGCACACCCUCUCCGCUUAAACUACGCCCAGCCGUGCAAGCAAAUGAGGGAGAAGAAGAGGCAAGUAUGAGAAAUGAAAAGAUGGUGAUAUUUAUAUAUAGGAUAUGGAAAUUUCCAUAUCAUAUUUCAAUUUAAAAUCCCCAAAACAAAUACCAGCAUUUUUAUUUUAUUACUAAUGGGAAAAUUGCAUUACUAAUCAUAUACAAUAUUCUAUAUUAAUUUAGUGUAAUUUAAUUCUUUCAUUUUUUUAUAAUGUUAUUAAUAGGUCCAAAAUCAAUAUCUCCGAUCGUUAGUUGCUGUCAUUAAAGUGAUGAUACGAAAUUAUUUUUUUUACUAUUAUUCCAUCAUACAAUCAGAGAUAUAGAAAUCAAUCAAUUUUGUUAAACAAAUAAUAAAUUUCAAUCUGAGUCAAAUGCUUAAAGUUGUUAAAAAAAAUUCACGUCAUCACUUUAACAACAUCAACUAAUAGCGUUAUCAAUUUGUACUUUGUAGCUACCAAUAACAUUAUAAAAAUAAAGGGUCAAAUUAUAUAGAAGUAAAGGAUUAAAUCUCUAAUUUCAAUUUAGUAAAGGGACUAAAAUGGAAUUAAACCUAUUAGUGGGGGUCGGAGUUUUUUCCUCGUUUGGUGAGGUAAAAAAAAAAAAAAACCCUAGUGGGGCAUAGUUAUAAUGUCACUUUGAUGAUUAUAAAUGAUGCGUUAGUUAGUCAUACUUUAGGUAAAAAACUGUGAGGUGGGAUUAGUGUAGAUUGAAAAUUUUUAGUGAAGGGGUUAAUUUAUACCUUCAAAAUUUUGCAAUAUUUGGUAGUUCCAUGAAAUAUUCCCCGCUAUUUAUCAACUUUUCAAUCACUCAAAUAGGUUUUAAUUUAGUUUUGUUGUGAAAUUUCUAAUUCAAGCAUACAAUGAGUAGAUUUUAUUAUGGGUCGGGUCGGGUUAUUAUAAAAUUUUAGGUGUAACGUCCCGAAUUUUUGGGCCUAGAAGUUAAAAGAUUUAAGCAUAGGGGCAGUAAGGAGGCCACACAUAAGUGAUUAGUUGUGCACUAUAGUGAUAAGAAUGGGCUUAUUAGUCUAGUGGUUAAAUGGAGUGUUAAUUAAGUUCAAGGUUUUUGGUUUGAGUCACUAUGUGUACAUUUUGGGAGUCUUUUUAUUUUGUUUUUUUUUAGUUAGUGAUAAUAAUUAAUUAUUUUAUUUUAUUUUUAUUAUUUUUCUUUUCUUUUCCACGUUAGUUCUCUCUACUUCUUGGUUUUUUUUUCUUUUUGUUCUUUUUCCUUGGACUUUCAAUUUGUGCAUUCUCUAUGUUUUUGAAUCGUUUGCUUACAGAUUUCGAAUUGUCGCACCUCUAUCGUCUUCUUCGUCGUUCAAUCAGGUGAGGGAUUCAAACUUUAACUACAUUGUUUAAUUUUGCAAAGUUUACGUGCGGCUUUUCUUGAAUAUGUGAUAACCCGAAGGUUUUUGGGUUUUGAUCGUUGGAAGUGAGGAAAAUACGUUAUAUUGUGAUAUGUUCUUGAUGUGGUUAAGGUUAGGGACAGUUUGGGUGGCUAAAACGGUGUUUUCGGGGCUAAUUUGGGGUGGUUUCAUGACCUCUCCGGCAGCUACACGGGCGUGUGCCGUGGUAGACAGUCAUAUGGAUUUGGGAACUAGGGUUUCCAGGCCAAAUUGGAUGCCACACGGCCGUGUGGCCGAUUUGGGGAUUUUGUCGAAAUUCACACGGCUGUGUCCCCUAGGCACAUGGGCAUGUGGGUUUGGAAUUAGGGUUUCAGAGAUUUGAAGUCACACAGCCUGGCCAUACGGCUGUGUGGCUGAUUUUGGGAUUUAGGGAUCCCACACGAGUGUGUGUUUCGUAACACACAACCAUGUCUAGUUGGCACACGGGCAUGUGAGACCCUCACAUAGCCGUGUCUGCCCUGCACCUUAUUUUAGCGAAAUUGGACAGUGAGUUACACAGCCUGUUCACACAGUCGUGUCUCUGCUUCGCACGGGCGUGUGCCUAUGUCACAUGGCCGUGUGCUAUCCUUCACAAGGGCGUUUGAAGCCUCACACGAUCUGGAUUGCUCUACACGGCUGAAGCAUACGGGUGUGUAGCCCUAUCUCGCCAAAUAAUGAUUUUAGGUCAAAUUUAAGUGCAAUCGUGACUCUAUGUAUUCCAACCCUCGACUGAGCUCUAGUGAGGGUAUUUACGACGCUGAUCUGAGUUUGGAUAAUGUGUUAAUUGUGAUUGGUUAUGUGACAUGUUUGAUUCUGAACCCGGGUUAGCUGGGUGAGUGUGUAUGCAACUAGUUCUGUCUGACUGUUUGAAUACGUGUCAUUGAUAUGCGAGCUUAUUUUGCAAUUGCUACUGAAUUCAAGUUACGAGUAUACUUAAGACUAAUUUUGUAACUAACUGAUUGGAUGUGAGCGUCUACUUCUGAAUAAUUGUUUGAGACUAGUAUUCUGAUUGUGUACAUCUGACUGCAUACAUACAUACAUAUGCAUAAACUAUUUUGGGCGGGAUUUUUGAAGAGAAGGUGUUGUAGGCCAAUUUUGGGCCCGUUUACACUUUAGGCCGAACAUACAUCAAACCCAUUUACAAUUAAACCCCAGCAUAACCCACAACCCAAACCCAACAAAUAAACCCAAAACCAAACCCAAAUUUAACCCAAUUCAAAUCCCAUAGACCCAAACCCACAUGUAAGCCCAAGUUGUUAGACCCAACUAGCUUGAUUUAGGGUUUCAAAAAAACUGAAACCCUAACCUACCCCCAGCGCCGCCAACGUCACAUCGCCCAUGCCAGUCCACUUGCACUACCUUUGCUCCACUGUUCAACCACCACCUGCAAAACAAAAGAGCACGCAACAGCAGCGCAAAAAUAGGAAAUAGACAGUGUAUGAACAACAAAAUCGGCUAUAAAGCCGAAUGGAAACCAAUGUAAUAGAAAAUAUUUUCGGUUAUUUUCUUCAUCAAUACAAAAAAAUAGAUUUAAACAUAUACAAGCAAUAAUUCGGGGAAAAUCAAAACACUAGAAUAACACCAAUUGGGCAACCAAAACAUCAAUAUCAAAAGCCUAAGGUGAUUUAAAUCUUUUUAUUUUUAUUUAUUUUUGAAUCAUACAUACCUAUGUAUUUUCAUAAAUAGUAUAAUAAAAAGGAAAAUAAAAGAAUAAAAAAAAGAUAGGAAAUUUUUACCUUUUCCGGCCACCGUGCGACGGUGGCACACGGCGGUCCGGCAACCAGACGUGGACGGCGACCGGCCUUGUGGCCGGAAUUCGCCUCUCCUUCUCCCCUCUCUCUUUUUUUUCUUUGCUAUGCAGAAAAUGAAUUUUUUUUGAAGAUUUUGGCCUUUUUAUAGCUUCCUAAAACGACGUCGUUUUGGGGGUUGCCCUUUAACCUCAAAACGACGUCGUUUUGCCCUGGAUCAGGUCGACCCGACCCUACCCACUCAGGAUCUGAGUGUUUUUGCUCUUAGGGGCUAAUUGCGCACGCGGUCCUUCCGCUUUUUCUAUGUUUUUCAAUCAGGUUUUUUAUGUAUUUUAAUUUGGCCCUAUAAUUAGUUGCGCUUUCCAAUUUGGUCCUCAAUGCUAUUGCGCAUUUUGGGUGGAGAGGCUUAUUUCGUUUUAAGUCCCUCCACUAUUUGUGCGCGUUGAAAUAGGUCCCCUUCCCUUCUUUUUAUUUCAGUUUUUGCCCCAAGCCUUUUAUUUUUAAUUCGAUUCGAUCCUUUUUUUAAUUACUUUAUUAUUAAAAUUAAUUAUUUUAGUAUUAUUGUUAUUAGCACUAUUCAUGUACAUAUAUAUUAUCAUUAUUGUUACUAUUACUAUUAUUAAUCUUCAUAUUAUUACUAUUAUUUCUUUAUUUUUAUAUUAUAUUAUAUUAUAUUAUUAGUUUUUACUAUUAUUAGUAUUAGUUUUAGCUUCAAUUAAUAUUUUUAACAUGCAUAUUUAUAUACUUUUAUGUAACAUUAUUAAUAAUUAUUUUUUAAAAUAUUAUUAUUAUUUUUUAAUACAUGCAUAUAUAUUAUGUGUAUAUUCUUUUAAUAGACAUUAUGUAUAUAUAAUUUUAUAUAUUAUUUUUAACUUUACAUUAUGUAUAUAUUGUUAAUAUCAUAUUAUUCAUAUAUUCUAUUAUAUUAUAUAACUAUAUUAUGUAUGUAUUUUUAACACUAUAUUACGUACAUACUUUCAAUAUCAUUAUUAUUAUGUAUAUAUAUUUUUAAUAUAUAUAUGUGUAUAUUUAUGUAGUAUUAUUAAUAGUUGUUUUUAAUAUUAUGAUUAUUUCUAGUAUAUAUAUAUUAUGUAUAUACUUCUAAUACUAUAUAUUGUAUAUUUCUAAUACCAUUAUUAUUUAUAUGUGUAUAUGUGUAUGUAUUUAUGUAUCGUAUUAUAGUUGUUGUUUUUUUUGUAUCAUUAUUGUUGCUAAUAUAUAUAUAUCAUGUAUAUAUGAUUUUUUUUAUAUAUAUUAUGUAUAUAUCUUUAAUAUUAUAUUAUUUAUAUAUUUAUGCUUACAUAUUAUCUUACGUAUAUAUUUUUAAUAACUAUAUUAUGUAUAUACUAUUACUAUAUAUCUAUUUAUGUUGCAUUAUCAAUGGUUGUUUUUACUAUUAUUAUUAUUCUUAAUAUAUAUAUUAUGUAUACAUUUUUAAAUACUAUAUUAUAUACAUAUAUUUUUAAUACCAUAUAUGUACAUAUCAUUAUUAUAUCUAUUUUUACCCCUAUUACAUUUGUUAUUAAUAUUAGUAUAUAUUUUAUUAUACGUGUAUAUAUAUACUUUUUAAUAUAGUAUUAUUUUUAUAUAUCAUUAUAUUUAUUAUUAUACUUAUUAUUUUCGCUAUUGUUACUUAUUAUUUUAUUUUAAUAUUAUUGUGUAUUAUUUGGUAUACAUAUAUCUUUUUGUACAUAUUGUUAUUUUUUAUUAUACGUAUAUUAGUUUAUUAUGGUAUUAAUACAUUUUUACCUUUUUCUUUUAUUGUAAAUAUUAUUUAUUAUUACUCUAAUAUCCUAAUAUUAUAUUAUAAUACUUUUUAUUAAUCAUCUCAUUAUUUUGCAUCGUUUAUUUACUUAUGAAUUUUUGUUAACAUCAUCAGUUUUUUUUUAUCAUUAUUUUAGAAACAUUUUUAUUUUAAUAAAUAAUGCAACGUACCGAUUUUAACAUUAAGUUUGUGAUUUCAUCGCUAUGUUGGGUGAAUCACGUUGGCUCGUGUUAAAAACGGGACAUCCUUCAAAAAAACCAAAAACUUGAAAUUUCUCGUGUCUUGGUCGGAUCAUGAUUAAAUAUUAAAUUAAACUUGUAUUUUUGAAAAUUAAGACAACGCGUAAUUAACAAGAUACUAAUUUUGGGCGUCGUGAGGGUGCUAAUACCUUCCUCGCGUGUAACCGACUCCCGAACUCUAUUUUCCUCUGGAUUUUCACGUAGACCCAAAUUCGGCCUUCAUUUUUGUUCAAGAAUAAAUUUUCUUUUCUAAAAAGAAGAUUUAUUAGGUGUCUGAUCACACCUAGAAAAAAGAUCGGUGGCGACUCCUUUUCUUUUUAAAACCGAAAUUCCAUUUUCAAAUAAUCGCCUCAACUAGCGACCGGAAAGUGAAAUUUUUACGUUGCUACAGAAGGAAGAUUGACUGAACUGAACUGAUAGCUAAUAUGUUGCCCCUAAUACCCAGAGGGUCAUGGGCGGUCCCAAUACCCUGAGGAUCGUGGUUAAUUUGACUGUACUGCGGACUAUCGCACUGUACUGUACAGAACAUACAUCAGCACCGCUGCUAUCAUUGACUAAACUGGCAAUUUUACUGCAACCUAACGAUAUAGCGGUCUACCGCAUUGCAUUGUACCGCAUGUACGUUAGCUACGCUACGUACUAUUAUCUGAUCUGGCAGUUCAUACUGCAUGUCUGUACCGCGGUUCACCGCAUUGCACAGUACAACCUAUACGCUGGCUUUCCUACGUAAUUUACGUGACUAGCAGUUUAUCUGCAUACUGUUAGCCCAAAUUCCCAGAGGGUCGAUGGCAAUCCCAAUACCCUGAGGGUCAUGGACAAUGCUGAUGAUCAUCGUUGUCGGGUAACCCGGGAUGACAUCAUAUGGGGUGUAGGGUUGGAUGGGCUUUGCGAGGUCCUGUAUGGAGUGUUUGGUGGGACAAGCUUAAAGCUUUUAUGAGAAGUGAUGGGGGACGGAGAGGUGUGUUGGCUGGAUAGGUGGAUAUUUUUAGAACUCAUUUGUACUCAUAUGUAUCUGAUUGAUCUGUUUAACUGAAUUGGAACUUGUGAAUGGUUGAGAAUUAUUGCUACUGUGACUGAAUGUGAUACUGUUCGAUUGAGAGGCACUUGUGCCUAUGUGAAUUUUGUAGAUUCUGAUUGCGACUGUCUGACUGGAUUCUUACUGUGACUGAUUAAGAUUUGUUGCUACUCUGUCUGAGUGGUACUUGUGGCUGAGUGUAUCUAACUGAUUGAGUUAAAACUAGUGGCAGAAUAGCACUAUGUUUGUGUAGCUGAGUGUAAUUUUUAAUAUGCAUUAACAAAUAUCUGUCUGUCGGUACGUCCGUUUCGAACGUACCCUUUGGUUCUGAAUAGCUCUGUAAGUAUGUUUUAUUUCUGAACUGCUUUUAGUUCCCUGUUUCUGUCUCUGUAGUUUAACUGGUUUGAUCUCAAACUGAGCUCGAGUAGCUCACCCCCUCUUUCGUUUCCCUUUUCAGGUACAAUUCUGGAUUAUGUUGAUGGACUUGGCACGCGAAGGUCUCAGACAGUCUCGCAAACAAAUAAAUUAUCAGUUUUGUUUUCCGUUACGAUUUUGUUAUUUGGUUAACUUUGAACUGUAAGGCUUUAUAAUACUGUGGUACAGUUUCCAUUUUAGAUUUUCAUGCAUACGUUUAUUUUGGGUUUUAUAUUGAGUCUUACUGUAAAUUUUAUUGACUGAUUAUUAAAUGGUUUUAAACACUUUUGGUUCACUGAGAUGAGUUAUUUUGUAAAAUUUUCCUACGAUCACUUCGGUGAUCAAUGUAGCAUUCCGAAUUCGGUCUAGACUUUUAGGCCGAGUUUGAGGUGUUACAUUAGGUUUAUUUUUUAGGUUCUAAUUUGACUCGAAAAAUAGGUCUAAAAUUUUAACUAAACCCAGUUUAGAUAAAAAUAUUAAACCCAAGUCCAAACGUAUUAAACUUUUUAUAUUAUUAUUUAUAAAAAAACAAAUUUAAAAAAUAUAAUACAUCAAAUACACUAAAAAUAUUAAAAUAGAUGUUUCCUAAUAAAUUGAAAAUACAUUAAAAAAGUUUUUAUACUUAACAAGCAAAUGCCUUUAAAAUAGUAGCAAAAUUAACAAGCCCAUGAUUAGGUCUAAUGAUGAGUUCUUUUGUUAGUAAUGUUUAUUUUGGUAUUUGAGUUUUUUCUGUCUUAAUUUGGUACUUAAUUUUGACUUUAAUUUUUUUCCAAUUAAGCACUUAAGUUUGGCUUCAAUGUUCAAUUUGGUACCUAAUUUUUUUUGUCCAAAUUAAUUACCUAUAUAUUUUUUACCAAAGCAUGUGUGUCAAACAUUUAUUGGAUCAUAUGAUGACAUUUGGCUUAGGUAUCAAAUUGAAUAUCAAAUUCAAACCUAAGUACUAAAUUGAAACAAAAAACACAAAUACUAACUUAAGUAUUAAAGCUAAACUCAAGUAUCAAAUUGUAUAUUAAUCAUUGGUAAACAAAAUUUCAAGGAUUAGCAUCUACUAAGCUUUCAUUUUCCCUUUUGCAUGUUACAAUUGAUAUUUGUUUAACGCAUAAACUUGGUAUCUUUUUUCCCGUAAUGAUCCAUUUUCAACAAUUUUUGUACACCUAUAUUAAAAUCUGAAAUAAUUUGGUUAUCUUCAACAUACAUAAAGCUGUUAUAUUAAAGUUUAUUUAUAGUUGAGAUUUUUAAAGGAUUUUUAUAAGAUAUUUUUUACACAUUCUUUCCAUGACAUUAAGGAGUAGGGAAGAAAACGUGGUAGUGUUAAAAGGAUCAGUUCAUCUAAACAAGCGGAAAGUCAAAAUAAGAAACAAAUUAAGGAGGAGUAGGGGACUCACACAUCCAUAACAUAUGCAUAUGUUAAUAUUAAAAAUUUACACAACGCAAUUGUAAAUGGUGAGACUUGGACUUCGAUACUUAAAGACCCAAGAUAUCGCCUUAACCAAUAAUGUCAACAAGAUCUCAUUAACUUUUUAGGAAUUUUCUUAACUUCACAUAUAGGGAUUAAAAAAUUACGAUAUAACUCAAUAUAAUAUUAAAGAGUAAAAGUUAAUCAAAAUUUACAUAUAUCACUCAUUUAAUCAUAUGUGUACAGAUAAAAGGAAGCCACUCAUCCUCUUGCCAACCCUACGUGUAACAUAAUUCACUAUAAAUUCCACCUACAUAUACAUACAUACAUAAAUAUAAAAGAGAAUUUCAUGGUCUUGGACUAGAUUGGCUACAAAAUUUGACAAACGGCAUGUGUAGGAGGAUUAAAUUCGAUGAAUUGCAUGAGAGUUUCUCCUUUUUGAUAAUUUAGUACAUGAGAGAAUAAUGAUGAUUGUGGGGGGGGGGGGGUGCUCCAUCGAAAUAGCUGGAAUUUAUUUAUUUUAGUGAACUGGCAAAUGUAAUUUGUACGCCAAGUUAUAAGGUGAAAAAGGGAGAAAUCAUAUAGAUUUGGUUGGUAAUGGUAUGUUGAUGUUGGAACACCUGCGGUGCACCGCCACAAUUAGUAGGCCCCUAGCCCCGCUGUCACCCCAUCAUAUGUGCUUUUGGAUGGAUCCAACAUUUUCGUGUUCUUUCAUUCUUCAACAUCAUCAUUAUUAAUUAGUUACUCUUCAAUUUCUAUAUGUAAUUUGCUUUCUUUUCAUUCAUAGGUUUUCUGUUUUCUGUCUUUGAUUUUGUCUUGUGCACAACUGAUGUCCUCCAUUUUUUUCCCCUUUUGUAGAAUUGGGUUUGUCACUUUAAUAGUGCCCGAAAUUAUUUUAUGGAUUUUUUUCAUCAUAUCAUUUAUAAUCUAUUUUUAGUUAUUUAAUGAUAUUUUAGUAAUUUUUUUAUGUUAUUGACACAUAAUUUUACUAAUUUUUUUACCCAGAACCCUCAAUCUUGAGUUUAGAAUCUUGAACCCCGAACCUUGAACCCUAAACUCAAACAUUAAACUCCAAACCUAAACCUUAAAUCUUGAAACCCUCAAGGUUUAGGUUUGAGGUUUAAGUUCAAAUUCAAGUUUGUAGUUCAGGGUUCGAGGUUUGAAAUUUAAGGUUCGGGUUCAGGGUCAGAGUUCAACAUUCAGGAUUCUAGGUUUGGGGUUUAAGAUAAAAAAAAAUUACCAAAAUUAUAUGUCAAUGACAUGAAAAAAAAAUUACUGAAAUGUCAUUAAAUAAUUAGAAAGGGACCAUGGAUGAUGUGGUGGGAAUGGUCCAAAAAUAAUUUCUCAUUUGUAUGGGAUAUUAUUCAUUAUCUAUUAUAAUUUGAUAUCUCUAUUUUUAUAAUAUUAUUAGGGGAAAGGAUUGUAUGAAACAGUGACGCCAUGUCAUCUGUAUCCCUUUCCAAUAAUUUUAUGCCAUAUCAUUACUUUUAUCCUCAAUUUCAGGAUUUUAUCCUGAAAAAAAUCAAAUCCAAAUUAAAAUCCUGAAAUUCAGGAUAAGAAUAUUGAUGUGGCAUAAAACUAUUGGAAAGGGAUACAGAUGACGUGGCGUCACUGUUUCAUACAAUCCUUUCUCUGUCCAAAUUUAUAACAAUGUUGAUUGCUUCACUAAAAUGAGAAGGUCCAAAAGAGUUAGAAGAUGUUAUUGAGAUUAAUAAAGGAGUAAUUUAUUUCGAGAUAGAUUAAUAUAAUUUAUUUGUGUUUUUUAUUUAAAAAAAAAAGUAAAAGGACGUAGUAAAGGAAUUUUCAUGCAUCAAUAAUUUAUUAUUUAAACUAUGAAAUUUCAAAAAAGAAGAAAUUCAUGUUGAAAUUGAUACUAUCAAGCAAUUUAAAAGUGUAAAAAUUUCAGUAUCAGCUGGAUAUUUAAUGUCAAAUAAACUAAAGAAAUGAGAAACACAAGCCAAUUGUCCACAAUGAUUAACUUGUUCCUAAAAAGAAAGUUGUACAUAGACUUUGCUUAUAAAUCAAUCCAAUUUUUUUUUAUAUAAAAGGAAACAUAUUACAUACUUAUAUUGAGUUAUUUGUACCACAACCCACUUAAAUUAUGAUUUUAAUUUUCGAUUGAGUCUUAGUUCAAUUGAUAUUGGCAUUAUUAUCUGUGGAGGAGUGGAUUCAAGUGCGCUGAAACGCAUUAUCCUUCUAUUUAAAUGUUGGGAAGGAACUAUAGAUUCGAAAGCAGAUAUGAUAAGAACCUAUAAUAAAAUUAAUGUAAUGCCUCCUUUUUCCUUUAAAUCCUACUUAAAACACACUUACUUAUUAUUUGCUAAAAUAUUGACAAAUCUAUAAUUUGAAUUCGAACAUUUAUAAUUCAAUCUUGGUCCCUUUAAUACAAAAAAUGUUGGCUUCACCCUUGAUCAAUUUAGUCAUCAAGUUUUUUUUUUUUAACAUAAAUUUCAAUAUAGAUUCUUAUCAUAUUAGCUCUUUUUGAUACAAUGCUUAUAACUAUCCAUAGCCCUUCCCCAAUCAUUAAAUAGUAGGAUAAUACACUUUAACGUAUUCGAAUCCACAUCCUCUUCUACUGACAACAAUGUCAAUCAAUACAAUUUUAAAUACGAGUGUACUACUUAGAUAAUCAUAUCCAAGGUACACAUACUUUUAAAAUUUGAUCCACACACUUUAAAUAUACCCCACCUCUGAUCUAAUCUAGCAUUUAUCACCUAAGCUGACGGUUAGAGGAACAAAAGAACUUGAUUGAUAUAAUAUCAAUAUUUUAUAGACUCAAUCGUACCAUAAUUAUGGACGUUUUCGCUGAGUUAACUCUAUAUCUAAAUAAGUCAUGGUAAACAUUCAAUAUUAAAAAAGAUAAAGGGAAAGUAUAAUAACCCAAAACACCAAAUUUUGGUUGGUUUAAUUUGCAGCUUUAACCAAUGCUUUUGCAUGAUCCAUCAAUUAGUGAGGAUUUUGAUCUUAAUUGGAGGGUCCCAUUCGGUUAUUAAGCUCUUUUUCCACCCUCAUGAUUGCCAUAACAUGGGCCCUUACCGUUUUACUUUGGAUACCCUUUUAUCUUUGCUUUGCUUUGCUUUGAUUUAAGGUUUUAUACAUAAAUGGUCACUUAAACUAUACCUCAAUUUUUAGAUUUGUCCUUAAAGUUUUUUUUUUAUCAAGAGUGGCCCCCACACUAUCAAAUUUAUCUCAUUUUACCCAAAAAGCGUACAAUAUCCAAUAAAAAUAUUUAAAAUGUGACGCGUGUCACAUUCUUAUUGGUUAAUAUCAUUUUUUGAAUAAACAAAAAUAAAAUUAACAGUUUAGCGAUCACUUUGACCAAAUAAAAAAGUUUUAAGGACUACUUUAGGAAUUUAGAUAUAACUUAAGAGUUAUUUUAUUAAUAAAGCUUUGAUUUAUUCAUCAAUUAACACUGAAAGAGUUUUCCUUAAUUUACUCAAAUGGUCUUUUUGUUUGUAUCACCUAACAUUUUGAAGAACAUCCUUUCUCUGUGUACCUCAUACAAUUCGUUAAUACGAAAAUUUUAUGAUUUUUUUAAAAAUAAAUUUAAUUGUCACGUUGCAGGUUACAAAUACUUUUAAAUAAGGGCUUUUUUCAUACAAGAAUACCAAUUAAAAAAUAUCUUCAAAGGUAUAUCAGUUAUACUCAGAUCAAAAUGUUUAAACUUAAUUUAUCUAAUUUCUUCGGCAGGGACCUAACCCAAAAUUGGUAAAAUUAAAAUUAGAUCUUUAUAAUUUUGAAGCAUUAAAAUUGAAUUUUUUUUAAAUUGUAAAAUUAUAAAUUUAGCCCCUAAAAAAAUUAUAAUUCAACUUCAGCCUCUAAAAUUUUUUCCUCUAACUUCAUCUCCCCAUAAUUCAAUAUAUUUAAAAAAAUUUGUGACUGACAUUACCAACAAAAAAUAUAUUUAUAAUUAGUAUUUAAUAUACAAUUAAUGAAAUGUUUUAAUUCUAUAAGCAAUGUUCAAAAUUUUCAUAUAUCUCAAUUUUUAAUAUUUUUUUUAUUAAAUCAUGAAUGAAAUAUAUAUUACCUUUCAGAUUUUACUUGUAGAGUCUAAUAACUAUAUGACGCAUUAAAUCAUUAUACAUAUAUAAGGUCAAGUGGUCCAUAGGUAGCUUAGAGUACAAGGGAUUAAGUUGAGGGUCUCUUAUCAUUUUCCCCAAAUGUGAAGUGAUGUUAACUGCUUAGCUUUCUCCUCUUGCCCCAUUCAUUUUCCUUCCUUUCCACAAUAUAUAUUGUAUAAGUAUUUAUGGGUAAUCGAUUGAGUAUUUACUCGAUUAAUAUGAGUAUUAAUGUCAAUAGAGGAGGACGUAGAUUUGGCGCAUUAUUCUUCUAAUCAUGGGUUGAGAGGCUAUGAGUAGUUUUAAAUAUUAUGUCCAAAAAAAACAGAUAUGAUUAGAACCUAUAAUAAGAUUAUUUAAAAAAAUAUUUAUGGGUAAUCAGUUUAUACAAUUUCGAUUAAAUGUAUAAAUCCAAUCAUUAAUCAUUAAAUUGUUUUACUUUAUGCCAUAGUAUUGUUUUAACUGCAUAAGCAUGUGGGUUAAUGAAAACUACUUAUAGUAUCUCAAUUAAAUGUAAUCAACAACCUCAACUCAUAUCUCCCAUCUCUCUCACUCUCAAUUAUAUAACCUAUUAAUAAUUAACAUUAAUAACCCACUUUCAAGUAGAUCUCAGGCUACCUGCCAUGCCAAGCCUAAAGCUUAUAAGAUGCUUGAAAAGGUUUGCACAAAUAUACAAGAAUAAGUAGGAUAAUGGUUUGGGCAAAAAUUAAGCUUAAUUAUUUAAAUUAUAGAUUAAAUUUAUCGAUAAAUCAUGUUAAGCGUAAUGAUAAGAUAUAUUAUACUCUUAAGAAAAGAAUGUAGAUUCAAAUACUAGAAACGAUAUUGUUAGGAAAAGUAAUCACAAAUCUCAAACAUGAAUCAUAAAAUAAACAUAUAAAAUACUAAAAAAAAUCGAAUUUAAACUCAUUUAAAAUUGUUGAAACAUGGAUAAUUUAACUCAAUAUUGCAACAGGAAUUUCGAUAUAGUUUCUAUAAAAUUUAGUGUUACAAUAUGAUUUCCCAUAGAAGUGUGAUAAAAUCAAUAAUGUUGACUUGUAUUAUUGCAUUAAGUAGUGCAUGAAAUGUAGGAUUCUAUUGUAAAAGAGAAUUAGAUAAAAUUGUAUAAAGUGCAUACUAAAAACUGUUUUGGAGGCUUUAAAGAAUUCUAUUCGCUUAAAAGGUAAGAGUCUACUUCAUCAGCUAAGGUUUACAAUGUAGGGUAAGUGUUCAAUCGAAUUAAGUGAAAAAAUUUUGAGUUUAUCGAGUUGAUGAGUCCUAUUUUAUCAUACUAACUUGAUUUGAAAUUUUCUCGAAUCGAGUCGAGUAAAAUGAAAUUCAAGCCAAAUCAAAUCAAGUGAAAUUAUUUGAGUUAAAUUAAAAAAUUAAACAUGUCAAAUUAAAAUCUUGUUAUAGUAUAACUAAUUUUAUGUUAGAGCACAUAAAUUUGAAAUCACAUAUAUUUGAAAACUUUUUCAAAGUAAAAUAAGAAAAAAAAUAAUUUAAUAUAAUAAACUUAAAUUAUUAAUUAACUUUUAUUUAAGUCCCCAAAAUUAUUAUUUUAAAAAAAAUUAAAUUUUUAACUUUCUUUAUAUACUUUAUAAUUUUUUUAAAAAAAUAUAAAAUUUGGAAUUUUUAUAAAUAUUUUGAAUUUUAAAAAUUAUUAUGAAAAUUUUGAAAUUUAUUUUGUAUUUUUUGUUGAAAGAGAUCAAUUUGCUUUUUUUUUUAAAAUUAAUAGGGACCAAAAGGGGUAUUUAUACCAAUCUAUUAUUCGAGUUAUUCGAAUUGUAAAAUUCAACUUGACUUGAACUCAGAACUCGAAUUACUUAUUCGAUUUAAUUCGAAAAAAUUGAAUAAGAUUCAAUUAACUUAGAAUUCGAUUUUUAUUUUAUUUUUUUGAUCAAAUCGAGUUUUGUUCACCCCUAAUAACUUGUUAGCAACUUAUGCAAGAAUUUUUUAAUUUUAAAAUAAAAGCUAAUAAGAUUAUUUUAUCUUGAUAUUAAAUGCUAUUUAUACAACAUAUAAAAGAUGGUGGAUACACACAGUUGGGGUAGACUUUUUGAGUGUUUCAUUUUUCGGGUUGAGGGAAUAUUUUGCAAGGUAAAUACACCUUGAUACCCUAGGUAUUAUUUGGAGAAUUUUAUUCACUUGUAUGCAAAGAUGUUUGCAAUAUGUGAUAAUAUUUUGGGAGAUUGGAUGCAAACAAUUGCAUACUAGUGAAACUACUUUUUAUCUACAUUUUGCAAGAUAGAUACAUUAUAAUUAGAGGUGUCCAUAAGUCGGAUUGGAUCCAAUCAAAAUUUUAUACCCAUUUGUCAGGCUAAAAAUAUUAAAAUUCGAGUCCCAUCUGGCCCGUUCGUAUUAAUUUUUUUAUAUAAUUUUUUAAAAUAUAUAUAAUACAUCAACAAUACUAAAAACAUUAAAAUAAAUGUUAAAAACAUUAAAAUAAAUGUUCCCCAACAAAUUGAAAAUAAAUUUACAAAUUGAUUAAUAAAUUUUAAAAAAAUAUGUAUACUUAAAUAACACUAAGAUAUGUAUAACUUAACAAGCAAAUACCUCUAGAAUAGUAACAAAAUUAAAAAUAAAACAACAGUAAUACAAUAUCCAAAUAAUAACAAUAAAAUAGUAGCAAUAUAAUUGUGAAAUGGUAGCAAAAUAAUGAAAAAGAAGAAGAAAAAAAAGAAAAAAAUUACAAUUCUUUUAUUUUGCAUAUUCGGGUCGGCUAUUUUCUAAACGGACCUUAUUUUUCAGCCAAAAAAGUCUUACCUGAGGCUCAACCCGUUUUCUAAACAAGCCUUAUUUUUUUGCCUAAACACAUUUUUCGGGCCUAUAUUUUUAUCCAAACCCUCCCACUUUUCAGGUCGGGCCACAUGUACAGGUUUAACCAUGAUAUAUUAGGUAUUAUUAUAAACUACUAAAUACUAAAUAAAAAAUAACAUUUAAAAUUAAAAAAAUGAAAAGAAAAAAAAACUUAAAUGAAUAUAUACAAUGUAACAAGGUACAUAAACCUACAUUGUGACAAGUGUCGCAACUUUAUUUUUUUAUUUAAUUUCUAUAUUGUUUAUCUAUUAAAUAAAAUUAAAAUAAUUUAAACACAAUUUUAUCUUAAUGUAUUACAAAAUUUAAUUAAAAUAAAUGAAAAUUGUUAUUUGGAAUAUAUGGAUUUUAAAAAUAAUAAUAAUUUUCAUUUAAAUAAAUUUUACAAAUAAUAUAUAAUGCUGAUUAUAUAGUUUUAAAUAAUAUUUUAAUAUAUGAAUUGUUAUCUACAUAUUUAUUUAAAUAUAUUACAAGAAUUAAAACUAUUUAAUAACAUAUUCAUCAUAAAAUAAAACGAGAAUUAUAAAUUAUUAUUAUUAUUAUUUUAAAAUAUUUAUUUAAAUAAAACUAUAUGAGCAUAGGUUGUAACAUUCUACAUAUUUAUAUAGGUAAACCAUCAUGAUAAAAACUAUUAUCAUAAAAUUUUGCACUUUUUAUUAUAUGAUAUGUAUAAAAUAGUUCAAUUAGAUAUGAUUAAUAAUAAUAUUUAUGCUCAUAAAAUUAUCAAAUUAUAUAUUACAAUGUAUUUAUAAUGGCUCAAAUAUUAAAUAAUGGUUUACGGGUUGUAAUAUAUAAUAGUUCAAACAUAUUAUAAAUUUGAAAUAUAAUAUAUAUUAUAUUGAAUUAUUAUUAAUAGUAGAUAAUACUGUUAUAAUAAUUUAUAGUAGUAAAAGUAAAGGGUGAGCUAACAAUUCAGUGUGUAACUCAAUCCAAACAAUCAGCACAAAUACAGAUACAGUAACAAAGAUGAAUAUAGAUACAGAUAUAAAUCCUACUUCAUCCACUACACACCAUAUUUGUUCAUCCCUAGACAUCAAUUAGAGUAUUAAAUACUCAUGCAACCUUACCCACCUAGAAGUGAGCGUAUGUCACUUUUCAGAACAGUGCAAUCAAGCUACCAGAAAUAAUGUAAUAAUCCGCCAGAAUUAGAUAAGUGUGGUCAAGCCAUCAGAACAAAUAUGUGGUUUAAACCACCAGAUAAGACAGAUCAUUAAAUUGUUAACACUUCCUCCAUCAUAUUAUUAUCCCACCUUAAUGCAUAUGCAAACAUUAAUCAGGUAACAAAUGCAUAUAUAUCAUACACGCUAUACGUAUCAGAAUAUACUAUCAUGCUUUUAGAAAUUGCACAAACAGAAUAUUAGAUUUCAUAUCUAUAAGUCAUACAUAACACAUUAUGAAACCUACAAAGUGGCUAAUCUCGAAUCGUACUUUAAAUACGGCCUAACUAAAUUUUAUAGAAAAUGAGCACACAUGCCCAUGUGACCCACACGGUCUGGCACACGGCCUCACACAUACUCAUGUGGCCCACAUGACCCACUUAACUUAGCCCAUGUGGCUCACAUGGUCGUGUGAUUUACACGGUCUGGCACACGGCCAUGUGGUGUCGACAAUGAAUUUUUUGGCUUCGCAUCGUUCAUUGUUUUUCGAGAUUAUCAUUACAGACUUGGUCGUUUUUCGAUACUAACACCACGAAAAAGAUUCCAGAACUUAAAACAACAUUUAACACGAACAAUUUAGCAACGAUACACUAAAUAUAAUCCAUUAAUUCAACCACAACCACUAACAUUAGGCCUUAACAAGCUGGAAAUCAGUCUUUUGGGCAUUCGAUUACUUACCCAGAACAGUAGUGACAGUCCUAAAAAUCUCCUAAUUCACUAGAAGGAUGUCACAUGCCUCACAAACUUCUCCUAUUGAAACAUCAAAACAAUCAAAAAAAUGAAUAUUGCAUAAUACUACAACCCCUAUUCGUCAUACGGAAACGAAUUAACCUUACCGAAGAAUGCACUUACAAGACUUACACUUAAACAAAAAUAUGAAUUCUUUGCUCGAACACGGCGCUACGGUGAUUACAUGCAAGAAAAUCAAUACCACAAGGAUUUAAACAUUGGACCUCUAGGUAAGCUGAAGUUUUACCACUAAAUCAACAAGCUCAUUCUUAUCAUUAAUUUAGCAAAAAUAAUAUAUAAGCUUAAUAUCCAAAGUCGGUGGUUGGGACAAAAAUAACAAAAAUUUAAAUGAAAGAAUUUGAACCUAGAACAUCACACACACUAACACAACACAUAACCAAUAAACUAAAUUAAUCACUUUAACAAUAUUUAACAAUUCAAAAAUAAGAAUUUUGAGACGUUGCUAAAUUGUAUCAUAUAUCAUAUAUCAAACUUACGAUACAUCAUUCAUAAAAAUUAUAACAAACUUACGAAAGGAUUUAAUGAUAUUUAAUUCUUAACGGGUAAAAACUUAUAUCAUAUAUCAUAUAUAUUUAUAUAUUAAGAAUUUGAAUCAUUAAUUAUAUAUCUAUAUAUUAUAAUAGUUUCAUCUUUCAAAUUUUCUUCCUCAUAAUUAAAGCAUAAGUUAUAUUUAUAAUAUCAUAAAUAUAUUAUAUUUCAAAAAUUUACACACAUAAUCAACCUAUACAUCGCUCGUGAUAAGAAAACUAAUUUAUAAAUAUGAAUGUACAAAAUUCGAGCUAAAUCUAGCUUCAAUUUUCCGGUGAACUUCUUUUGACUUUAAAUCUUACUUUUUCUUCUUCUUUUUGGCAAAAUAACUUAUUUGGCACAAAAACAAAAGUCGUUUUAACUUUUUUUUUCACCAUUUUUUAGCAUUUAAACUUGCAUUUUUUUGUUAAAUCACUCCAAAAUGAAUGGAAAAGUUAACAUUUUUAACUUUGCUGAUGUUUCGUACAUGUGGAUAACACAUCAACAUUUAAUAAAUCUUAAAAAAAUUAUAAAAACUAUUUUUAAAAUUUAAAAUAUUAAUAUUAUAAAAAAAUAUAAAUAUUUUUAAAAAUUAAUUAAAUGCUGAUGGGUCAUCUACGUAGCAAUCCAUAUGUAUGUCAUGUCAACAAAGUUAACAAAUAUUAAUAUUUUCAUCCAUUUUAGGAUGAUUUAACAAAAUAUAUAAAUUUAAAGACUAAAGAUGCGAAAAUAAUUAUAAGACCAAAAUGACUUUUUUUUUUAAUUGAAGGACGAAAUAAAUGAUUAUGUAAAGUUGUGAAUAUUAAUAUUACCAUAACAAUCAUAAUUCGCUUAUGGUUUAUUCAUUUUUAGGGUUUUCCUUACUAGGAGUCUAGGAUACUUGAAGGCAGAUAUUAUUAUUAUUAUUAUUAUUAUUAUUAUUAUUAAAUUUAAACAUAUUUUUUUAAUUAAGGAACAAUAAUUUGGUCCGGGUCGGUCCUUGGACAGUAUUGUAAUUUCCCAAGUUAUUAACAUUUGUUUAGGGUUUCUCAUAGUUAAGAAUUAAGUGGGCUAAUUUCCCAACUUAGAUUUGAUGAUACGAUUAAAAAAUAGGAAAUAUCAAAAUAUGAUCAUAUGAAUUAUUAAUACUAGUUUUUUUUUAUCUGAGUAAAUAGAUAAUUACUUGAAUCAAUUUAAUAAAAAUUAAUAUACUAAAAAAUACAAUUCCAUCAUUUUAAUAGUUUAUAUAUUUAUAAUUUUUAAAGAAUUAAAUUAAUAUUUUAUCAUUUUAGGGAGUUAAAAUUUAAUUUUACUAUUAUUAAUUUAAAAUUUUAUAAAUUAUAUGUACAUACCCAAUUUUGCCAAACCCAAAUACAUUUCAAACCCUUACUAACCCAAGUCUGUUUACAAUAUUUUCAGCCCAAUUAGCCUAACCCAAGUACUACUAGCCCAAUACCCUAAAUUAACCUAGCCCAGCAGCCCAAAACAAAUUAGCAGAGAGGAAACCCUAAUUCCACUUGCCUCCUUACUUGCGCCGCACGCUCUUCUGCCCUUGGCUACCACGCCCCACUUUCUUCUGACACCAGCACUGGCCACCUGCUCCACCAUGCCUCUGCCACCGCCGUUCGCCCAUACCCUGCAAAAUGAAACAAAUGCCAAGACAGAAGCAGACAGCACAAGCAGUAACAGAGAAUAAAACAAACAAUACUUUAAUAUGGGAAUCGGCUAUAAAGCCGAAAUGGAAAAUCUGUAAAAGGGGGGAUUUUUGCUAUGAAAACAAAGAUUUUCUUUCAAUUUUAACAGAUUGAAUACAAGAACCAUUCGAAAAUACAUAUACAAUCAGGGGCUCUAACACCAAAUCGGAGAAUCAAAUCUAAAACCUAAGGUGACUUUUCUUUCAUUUUUUCUUUACUAUUUUGAGUUUGUUUUUUACACAAAAAUACUAAAAAAAAUAACAAAACACAUAAAAACAUAUAUAUUAUUAAGCAAAAAAAAAGAAAAGAAAAUUUACCUUUUCCGGCCACCGUGCACGGUGGCCGACGCCGACGAGUCUCCGGUAACCGUCCGGCGACCGGACCCCUGGCCGGAGUCCCACCGAAAAUCGCCCUCUCCCUCUCCCUCUCCCUUUCUUUUCUUUUUUUUCCUUUCCCCAUCCCCAAAUGAAUUUUUUUUUAAUUUUUAACUUAUAUAGGGGACCAAAACGUCCCCCCCUUUAAUAAAUAAAACGACGUCGUUUUGGACGCGGGUCGGGUCGACCCAACCCGCACCAGGGCAGGAUCCGCGUGUUUCUUAGCGGAAGGGAAAUUUGCGUGCUCGGCCUUUCCGCUUUUCUGAGAUUUCACAAUUACGUUUUUUAUGUUUUGUAAUUCGGCCCUAGAAUUUUUCAUCGUUUUCAAUCUGGUCUCCGUGCUGCGCAACGUUUAGAUAGUUGGGAUUAUUUUCAAUUUUGGUCCCUCCAGGUUGCGCGUGCCUCACAUUUUGAUCCCUCCUCUUUGUUUCCUUUUUAAAUUGACCCCACAACAUUGUUUUUAAUUUAAUUUUAGUCCUUUUUCGUUAUUUUUAUUUCCUUAUUAAAUACUCUUAUUAUUUUUAUAUUAUUAAUUUUAUUAUGUAUUAGUUUAUGUUUUAUUAUACAAUUAUAUAUUUAUAAUAUGUAUACACGCUUAAUAUAUUUGUAUAUACUUAUAUAAUAUUAGUACUAAAAGUUUUUAUUUUAAUAUGUAUAUAUUACCUAAAUGUUUAAAAUUAUAUAUGUACGUAUAUUCUUCAUUAUGUUCUUAAUACUAUACUUUACAUAUAUCGUACAUUUUUGUUUCAAGUUUGCUUUCAUGUAUUGUUUAGUCAAAAUUGUUUUAUUACUCAUUUUAAAAUUGUUUCACAUACUUUGCUUUAAACAUUAUAUCUCUUUCAUAUUAUGCACGUCAUUUUUAACUCUAUAUUGUAUAUCACAAUCUCAUAUAUUAUGUAUGUACUUCUCAUAUUAUUAGUUAUGUAUAUAUUCUUUACAUUAUCUUAUGUACAUAUAUUUUUCAUAUUAUAUUAUAUACCUAUCCUUUUGAUACCAUGUUGUAUAUAUUUUCAAUACUAUAUUACAAAAAUUUUUACCAUAUUAUGUAUGUUAUGUAUAUACGUUUUAAUGUUUUUGUAUUAUCUUAUAUGUAUAUUUUAAUAACUAUAUGAGGUAUGUAUUUUUAACACCGUAUUAUGUACAUAACUUUCAACAUCAUUGUAUACACACUUUUUAAUACUAUGUUAUUUAUACGUUUUUAUAGGUAUCGUGUACAUGCUCUAAAUACCAUCAUGUAUAUAGUUUUUUAUUGUUACUAUUAUGUAUACAUAUAUAUAGUAUCAUUAAUAGUUCUAAUAUCAUGCUCCCAUCACUUUGCUAACUAUUAUUAUAUGUUUGUAUAUAUUAAUUCUUAUUUCGCGUUUAAUACUAUUGUUAACAUAUUUAAUAUCGCAUAUAUGGCCAUUGUUUUAAUAUUCUCGUCGUAUUUAUCAUUUAUUUCAACAUAUUUCUAGCCCUUCCAUUUGUUCACUUUUAUUUCAUAUCAAUUUUGCUUGGCAUUUCUUCGAAAAUCUUAUUCUCGUUUUCUAAUUAAUUUCAAUAAUCGAGGCAACAUAUCGACUUAACAUUAAGUCAUCGAGUUCAUCGCUAUGUUGGGUGAACGUCAAUUGACACGUGUUAAAGCGAUAUACCCUUCUCAAAAAACGGAAUAAACUAAAAUUUCUCGUUUUUUAAUCGGAUCACGACUAAAUUUUACAUUGAACCCGAAUUUUUAAAAAUCAAGACAACCUGUGUUUAUGAGAUACCAAUUUUUGGGCGUCGCGAGGGUGCUAAUACCUUCCUCGCGUGUAACCGACUCCCGAACCUUAAUUUUUCUCUGGCUUUUAACGUAGACCUAAACUCAGUCUUUUUCUCGUUUUUAAAGAAAAAAGAAAUUUAUUAGGUGUUCGAUCACACCUAGGAAAAAGGAUCGGUGGCGACUCCCCCUUUUAUUUCAAAAUCGAACUUCAGUUUCCAAACUUUUUCACUAGAUCGCCACAAUUAGCGACCCCGAAACCAAUUUUUACGUCGCUACAUUAUAAAUGAGACUAAAUAGAAAAUUUUCUAUUUUAAGAAGGCUCAAAGACCUUGCCAGCCUCCUUGACUUCACCAUUGAAAUCUAGAAUAUACUCCUCACUAUGCUUUGGAAAAUUAAAGAUUUGAAAUUAUAUUAUUGUGUAAUAGAUAUAAUUAAUUUUUAAAUAUAUAAAUAAAGUUAAAGUUAAAAUUAAAUCACUGUGAUAAAUUGUAUAGAAUAUAGAUGAUUUAAGACAUGAUGCAAAUAAAACAUAGUUAAAUAAUUAAUAUAUAGCAUGCCAUAAUAAUAAAGGUGAAUCUAGAGGGUUCACAGGGCUUGAUUCUCCUAAAAUAGAAAAUUAUUAUUUAGAUUUUUUUAAAAAAUUUAAAAUUUUAAAUUAAUAAAAAUAAAAUUGUACUUUGAUUUCCCUAAAAUUAUAAAUUUUUUAUUCAAUCCUUUUAAAAAUUAUAAAGAUAUAAACUAUUAAAAAUUAAAUUUUCAUUUGGCCCCCUAAAAAAAUAUUCUGGCUUCGCCCCUGCAUGAUAAUAAUAUUAAUACAACACAAAUACACAAAAAAAUCAAAAUCUAUACAUAACAAUUAUUUACUUGUAUAAUUUUAUAAUAUUUUGAAUACAAAGAAAUAACACAAACAAUUUUCUCUAAAUUGAAUCACUCAAAUAAAAUAUUUUAAAUAUCUCAUGAUUUUAAAAUAUACUAUAAGGAUAAUUUUUUAAAAAUAAUUUAUUAUGAUAAAUCAUAUAAAUUAAAUAAAGAAACAAUACUAAUCCAACAUAAAAGAAAUGUAAUAAUAAUAUCAUAAAAAAUAUGUUCUUAGUUAAUGAUUUAGUCUGUACUUUGAGAAUUAGAGAAAACUCGAGUUCGAGAUUCAAUUAUAUAUGAGAAAAGUAUUAACAACCUCACAAUAACUUAAUACAUGUUGUUUUAAAAUUUUGAACCCAGUAUUUAAAUAUGAUCCCGUAAAAUUUAAGAAUGCAUGAAAUUUAUUAAUUAAGUGAAUUUGAUUUUGGAAAUAAACAAAAUACUCAAUUUAAUUUUAUUAUAUUUUUUAAAAUUUACUCACAUUAUAACAUUAAGAACAACAAAUGAGAGCGUAUCCAGUAAUUUUGGCAACAAUCUCUUUAAUUUUCGUAAUGCUAAAAUAUUACCUUUUUUUUUAAAAUUAAAUCGAUGUAAAGAAAUUCAUAGGUGCAUUUUCAUAUAAAUAAUUGAAUUAUUCAAAAUUACAUGCAUUUAGAGAUAAAUAUUUUACCCAGCACUACGCUUGUUCGACUCGUAAAAGGCAAAAAUUAGGAUUCAAAAUUAAAUUAUAAUUUUUAUGAUAAUAAAAAUUACUUAGGACAUCAUGUUCUCAAAAACUCAAACCUUUAUCAACAUAGAAUUGAAUCGAAUAUCGUUUUCAUCUUCCCAAGUUUCUAUACAUAAACUAUGAACACGGAAUUAAACAAUACAAAAAUGGUAUUCUUCUUCCAUUGACAUUUGAUAUCAGCUUCAGAAAAGGCAAAAGACAAGAAUAAAGAGAUAAAACAAAAGAUUAAAUCAAUCCUAUAUCCUUGACUGACAUAAUUUACCUUAAAAACUCUAUACUUUAACCAAUCCCACCUAUAUGAUUUUUCUGUUUUCCUAUACAUAACUUAAAGCUUACUUGGAACCAAGUCAUUGUAUUGUAUUUCAUGUAAUUUUUUGAAGCAGAUCCUCAUCUCCUCCAUCUGCAUUGAAGGAAUAGAUGUCGACCGGGGCCACCGUGCAACCCAUGGCAUUCUGCUUGGUUCUUUUAUUACAAAAGGAGCCUCGGUGUUUGUCUAGAUAGAUUACAAUCACGGUGAUAUCGUCGUGAAAAUGGCGCCUUAUCCCCUUUUUUAUUUUCUUGAUGUCACUGUAUCUCAUCUCCCUUUUCUUUGCAACUUCUUGAAGUACAGCUCUUACCAAUCUCCUGGCAAUACCCUGCAAGCAUUCAAGCAAACAAAUAUCAAUAAUGAAAUGCAUUGCAUUUCCAUAGGUUUCAUUAGGUUAAUGGAAGAACACGAAUACUCACGGCUCUCGGGUUUUUGAAAACGAUGUUUACAGCAGCUUCAUCACUCAACUGCUCCCAUAGGCCGUCUGAUGCAAAGAUGAGGAAUUGAUCCUGUGGCUUAAGCUUUCUAAUAAGGAUCGUUCUGCUGUAAUAACCGGCCUUUUAAGAGGAACAGGGUUUCCGAACUGCUGGAAGAUCGGAUCUCUAUAAAACUCAGGUUUCUUCAGGUAAACAUCACCUAUAGAUCUUGACACCUGAAAUAAGAAAAACAAAAAUGGCUUAGACCAGCAUGAUCACUCACAUGCUCAAAGAUCAUGUAUUAAUCAAUCAUCUCCAGUUCUACAAUCCAAUGUAAGAUAAAAGCUAAUGCAUCUUAUUCUCUCGAUUCGUGAAUGGAUCGAAGUAAAAAGCUCAACUUGCCUACCAAAGUAAAGGGGAACAACAUCACAAAAAGAGAAGAAAAACAUAAAAACGAGAGAGCAUCGAUUCCUUGCAGUUACAUAAGCCUAGCUUUAUGCUUCAGGGGCCUGCAUUUGUCCAUCUCAUGCAUAUAAGGCAUACUAUAUGGAAAAUAGCAGCAUGAAACAGUACUGGAAAUCAGACCAAAAUAUUCUUGGAAAAGUCGAAAAACUCAGAAUUAUAACCAUUUUUUAGAAUGAACUUCCAUUCUAAUGCACAAUGUAUACAUCCAUAAUUAUACCUCUCCAUCAAGCAAAAAGAAACAAAAUGGUUGCAAGCAAUGCCUACGAAGAGGAAGUUAAUUGGCAACUAAUUCUAGAAUCAACAUAUUGAUCAUUUCUCAAGCAGACUAGUUUUGAACUAAACGAUUAUAAAUCAACUUGUCAAUAAAAUUGUACCUGGAUUAUGCCCUUAAUCUUCCAAACUCCGCGGGUGUAAACGACUAUAUGUGAGUCAUCUGGAUGAAGUUCCUCGACCUCCUUUCGAACUUCCUCGACUCCAACAUUAUGAUCAGUUGACAACCUCUCUGCCACUACUGUGUUUUCCUUAUCCCCCGAAGCUUUCCUGCCAAGAACAGCUCUCGAGUCACCGAGAUUCGCCACGUAUAACACAUCAUUCGAAAUUGCACCAACUAGACAGCAUGAUCCAACCGAAGCAAUUUGAGGCCUCACGGACAAUGAUCGCUUCACCAAACGCAAAAACUCCUCUUCAGUGGCAUUGAAUGCCUUCUUUAUCACAUCUGCAGAUAAUCCCCCUUGUUCUGUAGCAAAUUCUACAAUGAAUAAAGAAAAAAAAAUUUAAGGGUCUCCAUCAAUCUUUUUUAGAAUCCAAGUGCAUGCUUAUCACUGAAAAGUGUGCAAAACAAAGAAAAAUAAAUGACCUGAAAAAUGCCAAAACUUGAACUACACUUACUAAUUAUUCCGAAAAAUUCAAGUCCAGACAACCCCAAGUAGAUACAAAUUUAGACAAAUAGUUCAUAUUCUCUUUUCCCAUCAAAACAUAGUGCUACAUGACUGUGGAGCGGGGCAAGAUAGAUAUUGUCAAAUUCAUUACUGUUCCAUUGCUGGCAUGAUCUGCCUCGACCCCACUCUGCUUCGCCAUAAAUGUUAAAACUUGAAUAUCAUUACUUUUAAUAUGCAUAAUCUAUCAAUACCUCACCUAAUAUAUACAUUUUUACUCGUUUUAAAAGUUAAAUAUAUAAGAAUAGAGCAAAUAUCAAAAUUAAGUGCCCCAUUGGUCCCUCUUUUACUGUUAAAAAUUAGAAAAAGAAAGUCUAUUUGGAGUCAUCAGUUCGAAAUCUAUCAAACUAAAUACAUAUUUGAUGAUUCCAUAGACAACUUAUGAUUUUCCUGACAAGGUCAUAUCUAUAUACAUACAUGAUCACAUGUUCAUUCAUGUCAUACAUACAUAGGAAUGUUGAAAUAAAGAGGGAAAAAGGGAAUUACUGUGGAGAAAAGGGAAGAGAUGUUUGUUAACAAAACGGGAAGCUUCCGGACCGCCAUGACCAUCGUAGACGCCAACGUAGGUAGCAAAAGGAGAGGUGAAGACUUGGCUUUGAUCUUCGAGACAGUUGUUAGCCUGCACGACGGCGAUGGAGAAAUCACCGGAAGCGUGGGGUUUAAGGUCAGCGUGCCACAUGAGAGCAUCCCCACCAGCUCUAACGCCAAGACAACGUUCGAGCGGCCUGGAAAGGGACCGUAACAUCAUCAUCAUCGUGUUUAAAAAAUAAUAAUAAUCCCUUUAUAGGGGAUUUGAUUAAAUGAAAACCUUUUCGAUGGUUUCAAUGGGGGGUUUCACUUUGGGGGAGAGGAAAAUGGAAAGAUAUUAAGAGGGAAAGAGAGAGUAGAGAGUGGGGUAAAGUGAAUGGAAAAGAAAUGCCGCGUAAAGAGAGGCAGAUGAUGAUGACCAACGACCCCCGAUGCUUGCUGUAAUUACUUCCCACUCUACGCGUUAACCACCCUUUUUCUUCUUUUUUGACUUUUAAACCCAAAUCCUUUUCUUUUAUUUUUAAUUUAUUGAAUGGAGACACUUAGGUCUAAUUUAAUAUUUCAAUUUUUAAAGAAUCGUAUCAGUGAUUGAAUUAUGUAUCUACUUAUUCUCGAUUUAAUCGGUUAGUUUAGCUCAAUUUAGGCCUGUUCAGAUUAUUCAACUUAAAAAUUUGUUCGAAAAGUGAGAUGAUUUAGGUAAAAAUAUAUGUUUAAAAAAUAAAUUUUAAUAAAAAAAUAAGGUAUAUUUUUUAAAUAGAUUGAGUCUUAAUAUUUUUUUGUUCAGGCUCAACUUGAUCUGGCUCAAAUUUGUAAAAAAAAAAAAUGUUGUUACUUUGUCAUUGUUUUACUGUCAUUUCGCUAUUAUAUUAUUACUAUUUUAUUGUUUUUGUUUAGAUAUUGUAUAAUUAUUUUUUUAUUGUUGAUUUGGCUACUAUUUUAGAACCAUUUGCUUACUAAGUUGCACUUAUAUCUUGGUGUUAGUUAAGUAUAAAUAUCUUUUAAAAAUUUGUUUUCAAUUUAUUGGGAAACAUUUAUUGCUCCAACUGACCUAUGGAUAGCUCUAGUUCAAUCCUUUUGCCCGAAUUGAUAUAUCAAUUGAUUUAUUGGUUCAACUAAUUCGAUUAGUUGAUUUUAUUUGAUUUGAUUCAAAAACACUAAGUGUUAUUUCAAGUUUAACUUAAUUUAUAUUUGUGUUGAUAGUUUAAAUUAUUUUAAUUUUAAAUCAUUCAAAUUCAACACUUAAUUUUUUGGGUCAGAUCGUUUUAGGACUAUUUCAUAUUAUAAUUUUAUAAAAAGGAAGUUGAACUGAAUAAUAUUUAAGUUUUUGAGUUGAAAUUCAAAUCAAUGUUAUUAAAUUGGGUCAUAAUUAAUAGGUGUACUAGAAUCUAAUUACAAAUAUAUAUCUAUAAGAUAAAACCAAAAAUAAAGGAUUAACAUCUGACCAAGUAUUGACAAUGCAUUGUUAUCCACAAAUUUAAUUAGAUACAAAACAAGAUAAACACUGUAAUGUGAAUUUCGUAUGUUAACUUAACGGUUAGGAUAUUCAUCGCUUCAAAUGUGAUUUGGGAUUGAGUCACAUUAUCUCUAAUAUGUCCUCUACCAAAGAAAAUGGAGGACUAAAGUUUGAAAUCUUAUUUAGUAUUUACAGCCAUGAUCAAUUUCUCUUUAUGAUCUCCACCCAUACAAUAAAUGUGAAAAGUGUAGCAGUACGAAUACCAUGUUUUUAUAGGGGCCGCCAUUCAAGAAUAUAUUACUUCCUCUGAACCUGACACUAAGGCAUGGAUAGCAACUUACAAUGUAUCAAAUUAAACACUAAAAUUAAACUCAUAUAUCAAAUUGAGAUUUAAAAAAAAACACUCAAAUACAAAAUUUGACAUUAAAAUCAAACGCAAGUACCGAAAAAUAUAUUAAUCCAUAUUCAUAAACCUUUUUCUUUGUUUUUGCACCCGUCAAAAUUCCAAGACUUACAUAUCUCUAAUUAAGAGCAUCAUCAUUUACAAAAAUUAAAAAAUUAAUCCCUCUACUUUAAUUUGUUAUAAUUUGUCCCACGUAAGUUAUAACAACCGAAAAGUUAAUCUAAUUAAGUAAUAUUGUUAAACCUUAUCAUUGAAUUGUUUGUUUGGAAACCAGCAAUUUAACAACUUAUAUGCAACAAAUUAACAAAACUCAUUUGUUCAAGUUCAUGUUUUGAAUAACACCUGGACUAAAUUUCCAAUUUUCAUAUGCUACAAUGACUAAAUUUUGACAAAUUAAAGUAGAGGGACCAACUUCUCAAUUUUCAUAAAGUAGGGGAUGAAAAUCAUAAUUAGACCAUGUAUAUGUUCUAUCGUGUGAGUUGGGGCCUGUUUUAUAGUAUACUUCUACAGUAAGGACAGUCCCCACACGUUCUGAGCCAAGGAUCUAAGCAAGCAAAGUGAAACCUGUGCCCACACGGCAGCUGAGUAAGCACAUCUCCUUCUCCGAAGCUUUCAAGGCAUAUACUGCAAUCUCUUGAUUCCCUUGAUGUCUUCCUUUCAACAUUGAUGUCUUGGCUGCGGAAAAUUUCCAGCGGCAAACGGUCCAGAGCCUCCUGAGUAAGUCCAGGAGGCUUCUUGUUUGUUUCUCGUAACAAUUCGAAUCUUUCUGCUUCAGAGGUUAAUGGGGAACCCCUAGCUGCCAACCCUGUAGAGAGUUCACUUAUGAUCCUAAAAUCAUCGCGCGUUACAUGCUCCCGGUGGGAAGCAUUAGGUGGAGCUCUAUUGCUUCGCCUGAAGAAAACAACAGGAAGAAACCGUAAUGAGAGGGAAAAGAAAAGAUGUACAAAAUGUUUAAAUAGCGGUUAAUGCAGGACCUAACAUAUAUGUGUCCAUUAUUGAAUGCCACGUGCAAGUAAAAUUCAGGAUCGAGUGGUCCACAUGCUUCUCUCAAGCAGUAGAUGGUAGUUAGGAAACGAGUAACACUAAUUCGCUGUGUACAUGAAGUGGUACCAAAAGUGGUCUGGAUAGUCAUAGUGGCUAAUGAUGUUACUACUUAGAACCUAUGUUACUCAGAGUCAGGCAUGAGUUUCAGAUAUGGAUAUGUAUCCAGUACAGGUAUAAUUACUUUUUCUAAGUUUUUCCAUAUAUUUAAAAGAUCCUUGGAGGUCAUAUCCUCGUAUUUGUGUGUCAGACACGAGUGUCAAAUGAAGAGUCCGAGCAACAUAGCUUAGAACCACUAAUAUUACCAUAGAAUAGGAAGCACCAGCAGUGGGACUGGACCAUAUUGAUAGUUAGCAAUGCGAGAACAACAGGCACUAAUGGGCAGAAAGCACCAAUAACAGCAGUGGGCCUGGAAAUUAAGGUACUACUGGUAGGUAAGGAGUGACGAAAGCAAUAUCAGCUUGAAUGUAUAAGCAGAAGUGGGACAGAAAUUUCAAGCAUAAAAACAAAAAUUCAAUCUAUUCAAGAAUAUAUACAUAUAGAGCGAGAGAGAGACUAAAUUCAACUUAAACAUUUUCAAGGAAAAAAAGAAAAAGCCUGCCGAAAUAUGAUGAUUAUGUUAGGCAAUUCCAUAGAAGAAAGUUCAAAUUCACUAGUGACAACCCACCCAACUGACCAGCUGAAAAGUCCAUGGUAAGUUGGAAAAUAGUUUGGACCGAGUGAAAUUAGUCUCAACAUUAACUGGCUACAACCCCUAACAGCUCUACCAUAUGAUACGGUAUCUCUAUUCUUACUGCUAAACCAAGUCAGACUCCUAGUACCCCUAAUACAAGACUACAUAUUUAUCAUUUGGAUUCACUAAUAAUAAGGUAGCACAAUGAACUGCAAGGCACUGAUUCUUCCUACAGGUUACGAUGCAAAUUGCUCAUAUGAUAGACACUUCUUUUGAUCAUAUUGCACCCUCAAUAGAUCCACAAAAUCAAAGUUCAAGAGCAAAAUCAUUCUGAAUUUAGGUAAAACUUUCACAGACACAGAGCUCCACAUGACUUGUCUAUCCUAUCAUCAAACUUCAGAAAUAAGUAAUAGAGAAGAGAUGUGCUGUGCUGUGCUGUCUUUAAAAAAUGAAAUUUGUGACAGACCAAGAAUAGUGGGAUAAAUUUGGUCCAACUUGAGUAGCAAAACAAAUUGAGUGCCACAGGCAAGUUCACCAUCAAUGAUAAAAGUGGCUUCCAAUUGGUGUCAAAGAUCAUGCAGAUAAGAAAGAACAUGAUUCAAUAGCUAUUAUAAUUUACUUGUUCUUGCAGUUUGACCAGUAAUAAUGCUGUACAUAAUACAUGGACAAGAAAUGCAAAUACUAAAAGUUGCAAAUUUGCAGAGAGCUCUAGGUAACCUGUUUGCAGAAACAGACACGCCUCUUAGUCUUUCAACAAGCCUUGCUCUUGCAAGCAGCACAGCUCCAGGAAGCCUCUCAUUUGCUCUCAAACUUUGCCUGCUUGAACUGCUUACACCAUCUGCAUUUAAUCCAUAGCUCGAACUGAGCUCACCAGUACCUUCAUCAAACCCUUCUCUAGCAAGCCUCUCACUUGAUCUCAAACUUUGCCUUCUUGCAUUGCUUACACCGACUGCAUUUAACCCAUUGCUCGAUACAAGCUCGCUGGUACCUUCAUCAAACCGCACUGAUGAACGCUCCUGAAAAAGUAAUAUCCAAAUAUAAGCGAUUCAGGCAAGGAGAAAUAAAUUACAUAGACUAGGUAAUAAUAUCAAACUUCCUUGUUUAUUCUUGUAUAUGUGGCAAAAUCUUACUGCAAGUGAGCUUAGGCUUUGCUUGGUACCAAAGAUGGAAAGGAUGAACAUGGAAAAUUUGUUCAUCAAAUGUUAAGAUUCAUAUCCACCUUAUUACUUUGUAACUUAACCAUCAGAUAAACAAUUUUCCAAUUCACUCCUUUCCGUCGUUCAUAACAAGCAGAGCCUUAGGGUUUAGAAAAAUUGUCAAGAAAAUACCUAUUCUUCAGUAAUUUCACUGAUAAAUUUAGCUUAAAACUAAUAAUUUUCAGAGCAAAGUUCAGUAUUGAAGCAUAAAACAGACAACGAAUAAAGUACCAAUAAAUUGGUUGAAAAUCCAAUUCUUAAAUUAAAAAUAAAAAAAUAAAUAUAUUUUCCCUUCCAAAAAUAAUACUUAAUUCACCCCCAUUUUUCCUUUAAGUUCUCUUUUUUCUCAGCAAUAAAAUAAAAACAAAUACCUAACAAGAAAUAAAUAAUUUGAAAAAAAAAAGGUAAAAGAGAAAUUGAGCGCACAGAGAGCGAGGAAGCACGGGAGCUGAAGUGGCGCACGUGGGGAGACCGGCGGAGGGAAUCACCGCCGUCCAAAUCAUGCCUCUGAUUGUGAUGACUGAGAUGAUUCCGGCGAUGGUAAUUCCGUUCAAUUGAGGACCCAAUCCCUGAAUCCGGAUCGGGUCGACCCACUCUUGACCUUCGUGUGUAGAAUAACUCCGAAGCGCUUGUCAUCCAACUAAAACCCCCAAAUGGUGUUUUGAUCUGAUCUUACCAAUUAAAAUUUAUUUUUAAUUUCUCCAAAAAAAAUUUAAAUAAACAUGCAAAUUGUAAUUUGGAUUAAGAAAUAAAGGAAGAGAAGCUGAUGAACCCUACGAAGAAACGCGGGAGAAAUUCCUGCGAAUGAAAAUCGAUAGCCUUAGCUUCAAAGGAAAUGAAUGGAAAGGGAUGUGCGUUUUUUUAACCCUAAAUGGUUUAAUUCCGGUUUUAGUCCCCCUCCUAAGCUAAAAUGUAAUAUUUAAUCUUAUAUUUUAAUUUUAUAUACUUUCGUCUUUGAUAUUAAAGAAUAAUAUUUGAUACACCGCAAAUACAUUAUCAUCGAACAAUAACAUGAUACUUGAGUAUAAACAAAAUUAGUGAAAGAAUUAUCAAUAAAUAUUAACAAUUUUAUUUAGUUUUUUUUUUAUUUUUAAAUUUCACAUUUCGAAUUUUAGAUAUAUUUAAAUAAAAUUAUUAAUAUUUAUUUAUAAGUCAUUCAUUAUUUUUUAUUUCAUUAGCAUUGAGGUGUCGUGUUAUUAUUCAUUAAUGGUUGACGAUUUAUUUUUAUUAAUUUUUAUCAUUAUAACGAUGAUGUGAAAUCUUUUAUUGACAAUUUUGUUAUGGUCAAGGUAGCCAUAAUAUAUGUUUUUUAAUACAAAUUCUGGAUAAUAAUUAGUAAUAUUAAGAAAGUAAAAAAAUUAAAUCAUGUUAAAUUAAUCGAGGUUUAAGGGUGUAAAAGCUCUUCAAUUUUUUCAAAAAAGCAAUUAAGUCUUUACUUUUUUCACUCAAUUGAGUACUUUAACUUUUAAAAUGCAUAAAAAAGGACCUUCAAACUUUUUCAAAAAAAAUUAAGCCCCUACUUUUUUUUACACUCAAUUUGGCACUUGAACUUUCAAAAUAUAUAUAAAAAAAAACCUUCAAGCUUUUUCAAAAAAAGCAAUUAAGCCCAUACUUUUUUUUUACUCAGUUGAUUGGGUAAUUAAAUUGUCAAAAUGCAUAAAAAAUAACAUUUGAUUGUUAACUUUAACAGUUAACCGUUAAAAUUAACUGCCCCUAAUUUUUUUCAAUUAAAAUCAUCCCGUGUCACAACCACAACAUGACAUAUGACAAAACAAUUAUAAAAAAUAAAAAUCAAUACAAGUUAUAAAAAGUAUUAAACUUUAAUAAAAAUAUAAAAUUUAUUAAAAUUGUAAAAUUUUAUAAAAAUCAUAAAUAAUUAUAAAAUGUAUCAAAAAGGCCCUUUAACCAUCAAUUUUUACCGUUGACUGUUAAAGUUAACGACCCCCAAUUUUUUUCUAAUUAAAGUCAUCACGUAUCGUAAUACAGUGUGGCAUGUGGCAAAAAUGAUAAAAAAAAAUAAAGAACAAUUAAAGUUAUAGAAAAAUUAUAAAAUGCUUGUUUAAAAAUUAUAAAAUACUUCUUUUGGUACGAUAAUUUUUAUAUUUUUUUAUAAAUUUUAUAUUUCUUUACAUUUUUUUAUAAUUUUCUUACAAUUUUUAUAAUUGUUUAUGAUUUUUAUAAUUUUUUUUCUAAUUUUUAAUAUUUUUAUAUUUUUAUUAAAAUUUAAUGAUUUUUUAUAAAUUUUAUUUAUUUUUAAUUUUUAUCAUUGUUUUGCCACAUUUCACGCCAUGGUUGUGACACAAGAUAACUUUAACUGAAAAAAUUAGGGUCAGUUAACUUUAACGGUUUGAUUAUUAAAUUUAACAAUCAAAGGGUCUUUUUUUUAUGCCUUUUGGCAGUUCAAAUACCCAAUUUAGUGUAAAAAAAAUAAAGGUUUAAUUGAUUCUUUUUUUAAAAAAAAAGUUUGAGAGUCUUUUUUGUGCAUUUUGACAAUUCAAGUACCUAAUUGAGUAAAAAAAAAGAACAAGGGUUAAUUAAUUUUCUUGAAAAAAUCUUGAAGAUUUUUUACACCCUUAACCCAUUAAUCAACCAACUGUGUCAUUGAAAUUUGAUGAUUUGGGAAAAUAUCUUGUGAAUAUCAAUUAGAGAAAUUAAAUCUGAAUUUCAAUAUAUUAGAGGGACUAAACCCAGAAAUUUACCGUGAAAAAGAAAAGGUAUAUCUUUAUGUGUUAGUUGAAGGACUAGUAUUUAGAUGUAGCCACGCGUUAAACAAAGUGUUCCAUUACAUCAACAUAGAAUUUAUUUUCCUUCAAUAAGAUUUUUUGCGUUGACUGUUGACCAUGGAAAAACUAUAAAUCAAAUUAUUAAUUGAAAAUGAUAUAUAUUCCUUCAAUGAGAAUCUUUUUAUUACCUUAAGUCGAGAAUUUGAUUCUCACCUUGUAUAUGGAGUAGUUUUAGAACUCGUAACUUAAUAUCUACCUCUUAAUAGACCUACAGAAUAGAAAAGAUUAGUUACUAUCUAACUUCAAUAAAUACAUUGAAAAAUAAAAAAAAUCGAUAUUAAAUGAAAUAGACAUAAUAGAUUUCUAAAGUCAACUUUGGUCAAUAUAAAUAGAAAAACUAAAUGAAAUUUGGUUUAGGUAAAUUUUGGGUUCAGAUUAAAUUUAAAAUUUAGUUAAUUUUUAUUUAAGUUAAUUAAGUUUGAUUGUAAUUUUUGAAGGUUUGGUGAUUGGGAUUUAGAUUAUUUCGGGUUAUAAUUACUUUGAGUUUAAGACAUUUUAAGUUAUUUAUUCGGGUCAUGUCUAAUUAUUUAUUUGAAUUGUUUCAAGUUUGGAUUAAUUUGGGUCGAUUUCAUAUUUAGGUUAGACAAAUCAAUUUUCAAGAUAUGAACUAGAGUUGUCUAUAAGCCAAGUCACCUAGUCUGGCCCGAAGGCUCGUCGGCAAAUAGGAGGAUUUUAACAAAAAAAUAUAUGUCCAAAAAUGAGAUUGGACAAAAAAUAAGGCUCGUUUUAAAAAUGGGUCGAGCCUCGGGUAAGGUAUUUUUUUACCCUGGCCUGACCUAGAUUUUACAAUAAAAAAAUUGUUGUUUUGCUACCAUUUCACUAUUAUGUUGUUUCAAUUUGUUGAAAAAUAUUUAUUUUAAUAUUUUUUGUGUAUUAUAUUUUUAAUUUUUUUUUAUAUAAAAAAAUUAAUAGUGUCAGACCAUACCCGGGUUUUAGUAUUUUUAUCCAAGCCAGGCUUGGACAAAAAUUUAAGCUCAUUUUUUUGGGCCAAAUUGGGCCCAAAAAUUUAUCAGGACCAACCUAAUUCGACCAUGGACAAGUUUAUAAAAUAGCUAUUUAUAUAUAAAAAAAAAAUUGUCCAUGAGCUAUUUACUAUUUAGAGUAUUUAAAUAUGUCGAUUGAGAUUUAAUUCUUUUUAUUUUGAGAGGUGGAAUAAAAUAAUUCAAUUAAAGUGUAAUGAUGAUAUACCUAUAAUGCAUUAUAUGUCCCAUUCUUCUAUCUUUUUAGGGAGUCAAUGAUUAUUUAUAGCUAUUAUCUUUAUAUCAAAAAAACAAUUCGACUCAAUAAUUAACUACUUUUGCUAGAUUGAUUUUUGAUUAGAUUAAUAUGUUUUUAGUCAAUUUAAAUUUUAAAAAUUUUCAAAUUAUUUCAAUUUCGAUUAGUUUUAACUUUAGAUCAAUUCUUAUUCAAUUAUAUUUUAGACUCAGAAUUAAAUGGAUCGAAUUAUCAGAUUUAAUGAUUUGUAUGUAAAAUUUUAUUUAAAAUAUUUUAAAUACCACUCUAACACAAUUACAUAAUUCAUAGAUUAUAUAAUUUGAAAUUAUCAUUACACACCACCAUUGAUAAUUUCAGCUUGUAAGUCCUAAUAUUUUAUUCAAAUUUCAUAAAAACCCUUCCUUAUCUCCAUGACUAAUUUUGUUUGAUCAUCACAUAUUUGCAUGGGAAUAGUGGUCAUCAUGAACCGAAGACUCCGGUUUAUCAACACCGUCGACGCUUCGAACCCAGAAACUUGAACCGAAAGAAGCCGCCCGGUCCGGAACGUCAUCCAUCACCCAUUCAUGGCCUUUCGGGAAAUAUAUCCCACUCUUUGGAUGUGGAACCCAACUCGAUGAACUUUUUAUAUCGUCGUUACUCUUGCACUUCUUAUUGAUCUCCCGAUCUGCGCCUGCAAUUUUGCUCAAUGGUCGCUCAACGCGUUUUGCUUCCCUACACCCGAAUAAAGUUUCCAAAAGUCAAACAUAUUUAUUAAGUUCAUAAUGAUUUGCCUCUAAAUUUUGUACUUUUGUAUGGUUUUUUUUUGGUAAAAAUUUUAAUUUUUGGCUUUUCUAAAUACAAAACAAAUUUCAAAUUUCAUUUUUGACCAAACAAAAACAUCUCAAAAUCAUGGCUCAAACUUUAAAACGAUCCCUAAAUUUUAAAAUGUUCUAAUUGAAUCUUUAAAAAUAAAGUAUACCUAAAACACGUUUUAAAUAUGCUCUACAUCAAACAUAAACUAACAUUUAACACCCAGAUAGACAGCGAGAGUGACAAAAAAAACUUGGUUAAUACGAUACUAAUAUUUUUAGGACCCAAUUAAACCAUUUUAAAAUUUAAUGACUAAUUUAAAAUUCAUUCUAUAGAUUAAGAAAAUCUGUUGUAAUCAACCCAAAUAAUAACGACAACAUUACGUACCUUAGCAUCAAAAUCUUGGUUUUGGUAAAAGCAGCUCUUCCCAUGCAAUGCAGCUCUUUAAAACCCCUCAAAAAAGGACUCCAAUGCAAUUAUCUAGGACUUGAUCGUUUGUUUUAUAGAAUGCUUUCGAAAGUGCAGUUUUUGUACUUCAAAUUGUAUCCGAACGAAUGAAUAAAGGUUUGACGAAUAAGUUCGAUUGUGAAGGUCCUAAGAAAAUUAAAAUUUUAGAAUAUUAUAUUUCGGAAUUUCGUCUUUUUAUUUUAAGAAAUUUAAUCAUUUUAUAUUUUUCGGAUUUAAGUAUACAGGUCCAAUUAUUAUUAAAAGUGAUUCGACUAAAAAAUUAAAAAAUAUUUCGAAUUUCAAGUUAAUUGAAUUGAGUUAUUCGAUUUUUUCGAGUCAACUAGAAUAAGUAAUUCGAGUUCGAGUCGAGUUGAAUUUUACAAUUCGAAUAACAGAUUAAUGUGAAUACCCAUUUGAUCCCUGUCAAUUUUAAAAAUAGGUAAAUUUAUCUCUCAACAAAGUUUACAAAAAAAAAUCAAAAUAAUUUUCAAAAAAUUUUAAAUAUAAUUUUUAAAAUUCAGAAUAUUUAUAAAAUAUCAAAAUUGAUAUUUAAAAAAUUUAUAAAAAUUCUAAAUAUAAAAAAAAACUUAAUUUUUUUAAAAAUAAUAAUUUUUGGAAAAUUUAACUAUUUAAGUUUAUCAUACUAAAAUAUCUUCUUCUUUUUUUUCUUAUUAUGCUUUGAAAGAAUUUUCAAAUUUAUAUGUUCUAACAUUGAAUUAGUUAUAUUGUAACAAUAUUUUAAUUUGACAUUUUUUUUUAAUUUCACUUGAUUUGGAAAAUAUUCAAAUCGAGUUAGAAUGAUAAAAUGGGACUCGUCAACUCGAUUAACUCAAAAGUUUUUCACUUGAUUCGAUCGAAUGCUCACCCCAAACUAAUAUCAUAAAAAUUCUUUUGUUAAAUUUAGAUUCGUUACAAUAUUAAUUUUUUUAUUUUAUGACUAUCAAAUUUGUUUUUUUUUUCUUUUCAUUUCAAGGUGUCACAGUAAUGAAUUUAAUAGAAUAAUUUUAACAAUAUUAACAAUUAAUUUUUUUUUGACAUUUAAAAAAUAAAGAAACUAAAUUCUUAAAAAAAAAACCAAAUUUACGAAGAAUCAAAUUGGAAAAUAAAGAGAUAAAUAUAUAUUUUUUGGUGCUUAUGUUUAUCUUUGAUUUUAAUUUUGCUAUUUAUAUAUUUUUUUUUCAAAUUGGUACUUAUGUUGUUUUUAAAUUACACAAAAUGGUAUCAAAUUUAUUAUCUGACGUAUGGAAUGAUGAUGUCAUAAUAACAUUUGGGAAAUUAUAAAAAUUUAUAAAAAAUAUGUAUUAAAAAUUCAAAAUAUAAAAAAUUAUAAUGUUUGAUACCAAAUAAAAAUAACAUAAAAAUCAAUUUUUUUUAUAUAUUUUCAUAUUUUUAUAAAAAGAGUAUCAUUUUUUUAUGAAAAUAUAAAAUCAAUUAUUUUUAAUAAAAAUAACUUUUUUAUAAAUUUUAUUAAAAAUUUAUAUCAAAAUCAUGAAAAUAUUCAUCAAGUCACAAAAAAGAAUUACAAUUUCUUACCCGAAAUAUAUAUUUUAUAUUUCCAGAAUUUUUUAGAUUUUUUUUAUUUAAUUUUUGGAUAAUGACAUCAUCAUCAUCACAUAUUAAAUAAUUAUUGGACCACAAAAUAAAAGUUAGCAUCAUUUAACUUAGGUACCAUUCUGUGUAACAGUAGUCAAACGUGGGUACCAAUUUGAAAUAAAAAAAAGGACCAAAAUGAAUAUUAAGAUCAAAUACAUGUACUAAAGAAUAUAUUUAUUUUUUCAUUAAAAUAGUUUAAAUUAAAUUAUUAUUUUUUGAGAGAAGUCAAAAAUGAAAAUUUUCAUUUAAAAAGAAUUAAAAUAUUAAAUUUUAGGAGGGUCCAAGGAACCAAAGCCUCUAACUGCCGUUAGUUUGCCAUUGUCAUUAUCAAUUUACUCGCCCUGAGAGGAGUUUAGCGGCGAAGCUUGGGGAUAAUUUGUGGCCUUGACCCUCUUAAAUUUAAAUAAUUCAAUUUAAUCUCUUUCAGCCCAUUUAUUAAGGAGAGGUCAACUUCUUUAAGAAAAGUUUAUGAAGUAUGAUUCAUUAAAAGCUAGCGAACAUCCCAAUAAAUCGAUAUUAUUUCAAUUGAAUUUUUUAUCUCCCAAUUUUACGAAGAAUUAAUGGGUUCACAAAAUGAAUAUAUCUUAUUAGAUGUCUAAUAAGACAAAUCACAUACAUCGCAUCGCACUUGAUAUCAUAUACGACAUCGAAAAGCUAGUAUAUUACCACUUAAACUAAACACCUAUUUAUUAUGAAAUCUGUUGCUUCGAAUAAACGAGAAAUAACAAAUUUCUCCCGAAAAAAUCGGCCCCUAUCGUUUCCUCUUUUUCAAAAGUAAAUCUUAAUUCGCUCAGGUGAUUUGGAAUAUUGAGAUUUUUUUAGUGAAAAGAGUGGCAAGUUGGUGUGACACCUAAGGUCACUUUAACAUAUAGCUCUAAAUUCUAGAGACACUGUGAAUCGUUACUUCAGCAUAUGCCUCUUGUUUUUUUUCCUUCUUUCACCAGAAUAUAUUCAAUGCAAAGAACUUAUCUCUUACACAUUUGAUUGUUGGUUAAAUUCGAGUUUUAGUCCCUAUAUUAUACUUCCUUCCUGUUAUCGAUGUUAUACUUUAGUCUAAAUCCAUAAUAUCAACACAACUCCAAAUUCAUUAUAUCAUUUAAACAUUAAAAUUAUCUAUUUAACUUGUGAUUUAAAUAAAAAUUAAAUUAUGGUAUAACCACGAUGUGGAUAAAAAAUAAAAUUAUGUGUUAAUUAUAUUUGUAAAAGAAUGAAAUUUUAAUUAAAACGAUAAAGUUUAAAUUUACUUUAUAAUGCAAUGAUAUUUGAGUCAUUAUCCAAUUGAAUUAGUGCCUAAUAACUCGUAACACCAAUUUAAUUAAUUAUGCACAACAUUAAGUUUUAUUAUCUUUCUUUCUUUAAUAGAUUACAGUCAGUUACUUAAAAAAAUUACAGUUAAUUAUUAUUUUAUAAGGUAAACUAUCAAAAUAGUCAUUUUUGUUUCUCUCAUAUUACAUUUUGGUCACUUAUGUUUGAAAUGUUAAGUUUUAGUCACUUACAUUUAUCGUAUUAUAACAUUUUAGUCACCGAGCGUUUAUUGCCGUUAGCAAUAUAACAAUAAAGCUGAUGUGACACGUUAAAUCAUCAAUUCAAACGAAAAUUUUAAGUUAAAUUAUACAAUUGGUCCCUAUUUAUUUUGAGCAAUUUAUUUUUUUAUAUUCUUUGAAUUUUCUUUUUUCUUUUUUAUUUUCCGUUCUCUUCUGUUUCUCCCUCUAUUUUCUUCCAUUCCCUGUCUUUUUUAACGUAAAUUUUCUAUGUUUUUCAUUUCUUAAAAUUUAUCUAUUUUUUUUCUUUUAUGUACUUCUACGUUAAAAGAUAUGGAGAAGUGGUGAAAAUAGAGGGAGAAGUAG
rnacentral:lncRNA from 1 species